AGAAGCAAAGGCUCCUCUGGGCCUCAACUAGUGUCAAGAAUCCCGCCUAUCCUGACACCUUAUAUGUUGCACCUCUUAUUGGACCUGACACUGUAAGCUAUCUUAUUUUUCAUUUUGUCAGUUUAUAAUUAGGAUACUUGAUCUUUGGCAAAUAAUGGACUCGUUGUUUUUCCUUGAUUGUUUGUAACAAACUUAGAAGUCAAAGGGUUUACCAAUAUUUUUUGUUGUAUCUCAUAGCAACAUAUUCUUACUUGGCAGGUAUCAACCAUGCCAGACCAAGCCCUUGAAGCAUUUAUCGAUCAUGGUACUGUUUCCAGGACAAUAGACUCAAAUGCAUCUGAAGCUGAGGGAAUAUACAAUGCUCUCCAGAAAUUGGGUAUUGACUGGGGCCAUGUUGGUAACCAGCUUGAACUAGAAGGAGUGGAUUCGUUUAAGAAGAGCUUUGACAGCCUCCUGGAUUCGCUGCAAGAGAAGGCAAACUCUCUUAAGUUGGUCAGUCACUGAAGUGUGAUCGUCAUGGUUAGCAAUGCUGU
rnacentral:lncRNA from 1 species